rnacentral:rRNA from 1 species
CAAAUCUUAGCGGUGGAUCACUCGGUUCGUGGAUCGAUGAAGAACGCAGCUAGCUGCGAUAAAUAGUGCGAAUUGCAGACACAUUGAGCACUAAAAAUUCGAACGCACAUUGCGCCAUCGGGUUCAUUCCCGUUGGCACGUCUGGCUGAGGGUCGAAUU